AUCGUGGGUGACUCAGGCCAGCCUCUAUGGCUUUUUAUUUGGUAUCUAGGACUCUCGGGGUGGGUUUCUUGAUCCCUAGAUCGCUUCAGAUUGAAGAAGCACCAAAGGGAAACCAGAUUCCCUCAACCAGAUAACACUCCGGGGGGCGGGGAGUAGGGACGGAGAGAACGCGUGGAUGUGGCCUGGUGCUGUAAAAAUGAGAUUUCCUGUCAAACGUACCUUAUCACCACUCUGCCUCUAACCCAGUGGGAACACUGGGCGUGCACCUUCCAUUUCUGGGUGUGCCGCCCUAAACAUCCCUCACCUGUCUUGCUCCCUGUCCCAGGUUUCAAAGAGCAGAUUUACGAUGUAUACAGGUACCUGCCUCCAGCCACACAGGUGGUUCUCAUCAGUGCCACGCUGCCACACGAGAUUCUGGAGAUGACCAACAAGUUCAUGACCGACCCAAUCCGCAUCUUGGUGAAACGGUAGGAGCCCCUCUUGUCAAGUUUACUAGAACACUGGGCCGCAUUUAUAAAGGAUUUUAUGUCGUAAUUUCAAAAACUUUUCAUAGCCAGAGUCUGGCUGUGUUGCUGAAGCUGGUGUCAAAACCCGGACCUCAGGCUAUCCUCUUGCCUGAGUGUAAAGGAAUUGAAAGCAUGCAAAUUCUUUUAAAAUUCCUGUUUUAAAAAACCAAAUAGGCUGGGCAACAUAGAGAGACCCUAUCUCUACCAAUAAUAAAAAAUUAGCCAGGUAGGGCGGCACAUGCCUCUAGUCCCAGCUACUCAGGAGGCUGUGGUGGGAGGAUCGCUUGAGGUCAGGAGGCUGAGGCUGCAGUGAGCUUUGAUUGUGCCACUGCACUUCAGCCAGGGCAACAGAGCAAGACCCUGUCUCAAACAAAACAAAACAAGACAAAACAACCCAUCUUUUACAAUCCUCAUUGUGGUUUGAACCAAUAAUUCUAAAUUUAAAAAUUAGGUGACUGUAUUUAUUUAUCAGUGUUUCAUUUAGAAUCGUAUUCCAUGUGCUGCACAUUGUGAAAUGUUAAGUAGGAUACAGAAUGGAGGCCUGUGUGACGGAAGUGGUGAUAGGAUGGAGGACAGGGCUGGGGCUGCUGGGUCUGCACCAGAUAUCACGGUGUGACCUUCUCCACCAGGGUCUCCCUGGAUCCUGGCUUGGCCCACCCUCAAGUCCUAGAAGGAAGGAUGAGUAUGUAACAGGAUUUGUCUUUGUCCUUCAGUGAUGAAUUGACUCUGGAAGGCAUCAAGCAAUUUUUCGUGGCAGUGGAGAGGGAAGAGUGGAAAUUUGACACUCUGUGUGACCUCUACGACACACUGACCAUCACUCAGGCGGUCAUCUUCUGCAACACCAAAAGAAAGGUGGACUGGCUGACGGAGAAAAUGAGGGAAGCCAACUUCACCGUAUCCUCAAUGCAUGGAGACAUGCCCCAGAAAGAGCGGGAGUCCAUCAUGAAGGAGUUCCGGUCGGGCGCCAGGUGGGUCCGCUAUGCUGUGGCUCUGCAGGUCAGGGUUUGCUAGACUGUGCUAAGCACUUCAUAUGCACUGCCUAAGUGCAGGCCCCACACCCGGGGGGAUGACAAGCUUCUGCUCUGAAAGCUGAGGCCCUGGGGAGCAGAAAACCUUCCAGUUAAUGAGGGGUCCGCUGUGCUCCUGUAAUACUUAGGUUGAGGUGAUAACUAGCCUUAACUAGCCAGGUUGGUCACCUUGGUUACAAGUGUGUGUCUUCUUUUCCAGUAAGUAGGGGGGUUUUCUGUUCAUCGUUUCGAUUAGUUUAAUUCCACAGUGGUCAGAAAGCGUGGAUUGGGUGGUUUCAUUCAUUUGAACUUGAUUCAGACUUCCUUCUUUGCCCACCUUGUGGUCAGCUUAACAAAUGUGCUGUGUGUGUCUUUUUUUUGUUUGUUUGUUUUUGAGACAGUCUCACUUCGUUACCCAGGCCAGAGUGCAGUGGUACAAUCUUGGCUCACUGCAACCUCUGCCUCCUGAUUUCAAGUGACUCCUGUGUCUCAGCCUCCCGAGUAGCUGGAAUGGCUAAUUUUUUUUUUUUUUUUUUUCAUUUUUAGUAGAGAUGGGGUUUCACCAUGUGGGCCAGGCUGGUCUCGAACUCCUGACCUCAGGUGAUCCAUCUGCCUCAGCCUCUGGCAGUGCUGGGAUUACAGGCAUAAGCCGCCGCCAUGCCCGGCUGAAGUUACCGUUUUUAAUUUUUUGCUAGGCAAAAGUGAAGUAUUUUUCCCAAUUAUUGGUUUAGGACCGAUUAAACAAGUUAAAGAUAGUCUAGUAAAAGAUGUCUAUUUUUUUAAUCUGAUGGAGCACAUGACCGAAGUAACUAAAUCCACCAACAGCCCCUCUGCACAGGGGUUUCUGGUGCUGUCCCUGAGGCUUCACGUUUGCAGACAGACUGUUGAGAGAGGAGAAUCUCGUAUAUUUUGGACCUGCAGCCAGGAUUCCUUAAAAUUAGCAAUGGAAGCAAGUCCAGUCUUAUACUUGUAUGAGUAAUUUAAUCACCUCAAACACUCUUUCUUUUUGCAGCCGAGUGCUUAUUUCUACAGAUGUCUGGGCCAGGGGGUUGGAUGUCCCUCAGGUGUCCCUCAUCAUUAACUACGAUCUCCCCAAUAACAGAGAAUUGUCCAUACACAGGUAGGGUGCAAGCUCUCAUUGGCUUCACUUCUGUGACACAUUUACUAAAUCUUGAUUGUUAUAUAUACUAACUGUAAUAUUGUUUUAUUCCUGAAGAAUUGGGAGAUCAGGUCGAUACGGCCGGAAGGGUGUGGCCAUUAACUUUGUAAAGAAUGACGACAUCCGCAUCCUCAGAGAUAUCGAGCAGUACUAUUCCACUCAGAUUGAUGAGAUGCCGAUGAACGGUAGGAAAUCGUCCAGCUCUACUGUAAUUGUAGAGGGAACUUCCCUAUUCUUAGUUUGGGGCACUUGAGUUUGUUUUUUUGUUGUUGUGGUUUGUUUUGUUUUGUUUUUGAGACGAAGUUUCGCUCUGUCACCCAGGCUGGAGUGCAGUGGCGCAUUUCGGCUCACUGCAACCUCUGCCUCCUGGGUUCAAGCAAUUCUCCUGCCUCAGCCUCCUGAGUAGCUGGAAUUACAGACGCGUGCACCAUAGCCAGCUAAGUUUUGUAUUUUUAGUAGAGACGGGGUUUCACCAUGUUGGCCAGGCUGGUCUCGAGCUCCUGGCCUCAAAUGAUCCGCCCACCUCAGCCUCCCAAAGUGCUGGGAUUACAGGCGUGAGCCACUAUGUCUGGCCUGUUUUUUGUUUUGAGAAGUCUGUUGUGAGGUUUUAGUUAAAUUUACGUUAACAAAUUUUCAUUUUGUUUGUGUUGUUCCUUAAUCUGUUUGUUUCUUCACUUUCAGUUGCUGAUCUUAUCUGAAGCAGCAGAUCAGUUGGAUGAGGGAGACUGUUCACCUGCUGUGUACUCCUGUUUGGAAGUAUUUGGAUCCAGAUUCUACUUGAUGGGGUUUAUAUGGACUUUCUUCUCAUAAAUGGCCUCCCGUCUCCCUUCCUUUGAAGAGGAUAUGGGGAUUCUGCUCCCUUUUCUUAUUUACAUGUAAAUAAUACAUUGUUCUAAGUCUUUUUCAUUAAAGAUUUAAAACUUUUCCCAUAAA
rnacentral:sRNA from 1 species